rnacentral:rRNA from 1 species
UACGUAGGGCGCAAGCGUUAUCCGGAAUUAUUGGGCGUAAAGAGCUCGUAGGCGGUUUGUCGCGUCUGCUGUGAAAGACCGGGGCUCAACCUCGGGCCUGCAGUGGGUACGGGCAGACUAGAGUGCGGUAGGGGAGAAUGGAAUUCCUGGUGUAGCGGUGGAAUGCGCAGAUAUCAGGAGGAACACCGAUGGCGAAGGCAGUUCUCUGGGCCGUUACUGACGCUGAGGAGCGAAGACGUGGGGAGCGAACAGG